GAUGAAGAGAGGAAGUGAAGUCAAGGGCAAUCCACAGUGACCCUCAUUGGCAAUACUGGACACUGUUUUCAAGCAUGUCAUCGCAAAAGACGUCCUCUGAGACACUGUCUGAACCUGAUAUACACCUGUGAGAGGCGAGUCUGUGGUGUGAAAACACUGUUCCAACUUGCUCUUGCUAUUGUCAUGGCUCCUGCCUUUCCCAGAGGGCCACUGCAAGGCCCAGGAGGAAGAGAGGCAGUGAGGUCAAGAGCCCAGCCAUUGUUUGCUGAUGUCAGCCUCUGGGUCUCAGGUAUGAUUCUAUCUCCCAAAGAGCCCUAAACAAUACCAGACAGUAUUCCAAUCCCCAUGGGACCUAUUUCUUGCACACUGCCUCUUUCAGGAAUGGAGUCAGAAGAUCAGUGACCAACUCACAGCCUCCAAAUGCCUCCUUCUUCAGCGGAACCCGACCACAGACAUGACACAAAAGGGUCUUGAGGUAGGAUGAGAGUUCUGAAAUCCAGGCACCUGAGCCUGCAUGAUGGAUGCAUUUGUGCCAGCCUCAGGGCACCAGGCCUGAUGGUGAGCUCUGACCACCAUCAUAAUGAAUGUCAUCAUUGCCUAGUGACAAGUCCAGGCGGCUUGGCAGAGAAGACAUCCGUGGAGGUGAGUCGGUGGUGAAUUCUCGCUUGUCUUCUCUGAGGGAUCUACGACAUACUCUCAUGAUUCCAGGAUAGGGCAGAUGUGAGCCAGCCUGAAGAAACGUGAAGCACAGAUUCAUGAAUAAACCGCAAAAUCCCUAAGGAUCCAAAACAAUCUACAGGAUUCCUAAGGCCUGCUUAGAGGUUGUAGGGUUGAGUCUUUUUAAAACUUGCCCCACUGUGAUUUCUAGGUAUAGCCCGCCUGUGUUCCCCGGGGUUGUUCUCCCCACGGUAGGGCUUUCUGCAGGACCAGGCAGCCUCAGGAGCUGCCGAUCUGUGUGUUUCUGUGGGAGUGUUGUGAGUGUUGGAUGUUUGCCUGUGUGUGUGGCAUUGUGUGUGUGUGUGUGUGUGUGUUUCUGUGUGUGCCUGUAAGUGGAGUCUCCUUAAAGAAAUGUGUCUAACACACUUCAGCCUUUUUUUUUUUUCGUAUAUCCAAAACUUCUGAUGGCCUCUCUGUGUGGGUUUGCUUAGGCUUUGGGACCCCAUGUUCUUUAUUUUUCUGUGGAUCAUUAACCUGCAGUGAAUUUGGAGGCAUGCCGAAACCACAAGCGUCCAAAUCACCUGCCGCUGCAAAAAAAAGCCACUCUUCUAGGAAGAAGAGGAGCAUACCACACCAAAAUAACAGACAUCUCCCAACAUUUCAUUGUUCUGUGGACUACUGAGGGAAGAAAACUUGCAGUCUUGUAUGAAGGGCCCUUGAAUUUACCUUGAAUUCAGGUCCCAGCCGAGCAGGGUCUUCAUGUCUUAAGGCAGUACCCCUCCAUUGUCUUGGGAUUUCAUCCAGGGACAUUGAGUGUGAGCUGCAAUAAUGUCAGACACAGGUGAUAAUAGAAUCUCUUGAGGGGUAAACGGGGCCUCACAACAUUAUCUGAAAAAAAAGUAAGGACAAACAACAAAGAAGUUUCUUCCAACUCCAUCCCCACAUUGCCUGAAUCGCACAAGCAGUUUAUAUCUUGGCCCUGUUCUCACAUGGGAGUACUCCAAUGUGCCAGGAAUAUUUGGAG
rnacentral:lncRNA from 10 species